rnacentral:rRNA from 1 species
UAAUACCAGCCCCCUGAGUGGUAGGGACGAUUAUUUGGCCUAAAGCGUCCGUAGCCGGCUUAGCAAGUCCUUCGUGAAAUCCGGUGACUUAAUCGUCGGGCGUGCGAGGGAUACUACUAGGCUUGAGGUCGGGAGAGGUCGACGGUAUUCUGGGGGUAGGGGCAAAAUCCUAUAAUCCUCAGAGGACCACCAGUGGCGAAGGCGGUCGACUAGAACGUGCCUGACGGUGAUGGACGAAAGCUGGGGGAGCGAACCGGAUUAGACACCCGGGUAGUCCCAGCCGUAAACGAUGCGGGCUAGGUGUUGGGGCAACCACGAGUUGCUCCAGUGCCGCAGAGAAGUUAUUAAGCUCGCCGCCUGGGAAGUACGGUCGCAAGACUG